GGAUUAGAUACCCUGGUAGUCUACGCCGUAAACGAUGGUUACUAGCUGUCCGGCCUAAUUGAGGGCUGGGUGGUUAAGCGAAAGUGAUAAGUAACCCACCUGGGGAGUACGUUCGCAAGAAUGAAACUCAAAGGAAUUGACGGGGGCCCGCACAAGCGGUGGAGCAUGUGGUUUAAUUCGAUGAUACGCGAGGAACCUUACCAGGGCUUAAAUGCAGUCUGACGUACUUGGAAACAGGUAUUUCUUCGGACAGAUUGCAAGGUGCUGCAUGGUUGUCGUCAGCUCGUGCCG
rnacentral:rRNA from 1 species